rnacentral:rRNA from 1 species
CCUACGGGAGACAGCAGUGGGGGAUAUUGCACAAUGGGGGAAACCCUGAUGCAGCGACGCCGCGUGUGGGAAGACGGUCCUCUGGAUUGUAAACCACUGUCCCCAGGGACGAAGAUGACGGUACCUGGGGAGGAAGCUCCGGCUAACUACGUGACAGCAGCCGCGGUAAUACGUAGGGAGCGAGCGUUGUACGGAAUUCCUGGGGGUAACGGGAGCGUAGGCGGGACUGCAAGUUGGGUGUCAAAUCUACCGGCUCAACCGGUAGCCGCACUCAAAACUGGAGUUCUUGAGUGAAGUAGAGGCAGGCGGAAUUCCUAGUGUAGCGGUGAAAUGCGUAGAUAUUAGGAGGAACACCAGUGGCGAAGGCGGCCUGCUGGGCUUUUACUGACGCUGAGGCUCGAAAGUGUGGGGAGCAAACAGGAUUAGAUACCCGGGUAGUC